rnacentral:sRNA from 1 species
GAUUGUGUCUUCUGAAAUACAGAGUUUCAACCCCUCAUUUUAUUUCCAAACAAUCACUUUUAUGUUACUCUCUAGAGAAUGAGGAGGGUCGGAUCUCAGAUCAUGGGGCAUGCUAUAGCUGAGAAUGGAAAAAGGGGAGCAGAAUUACUUAAAGACUUCAUCUCUUCAAUGCAGAGGAUAGUAAUUGAUAUUACUUAUCAAAGUAUCUCUUUUCUAGCUAUGCAACAUGAAGUUUCAAGCAAUUUAUUAUUGUCAUUGAUGUCUCAAUUGUGUACAUAAUCCCCUUUUCCUGUCAUUUAUGAUACUAAAAUAUAUGUUAGUAAAAUAUAGUACAUAUUUUAGGUUUUUAUCGUAUUGUUUUCAUGGCUAAGAGGUUUAACAAUUUCAUCUUUUAUUAUAAAUGUUAGGUUUAUAUGAAAAUAGUGAAUAAUCAGUAAAUAAUCUAGCUUCUUUUUCUAAUUGCAGUGUUUUUCUUAAUAUAACAAUGUACUGAAAGCUUUGUUGAUUAAAAGUGGAAUGUAGCACAUUCA